rnacentral:rRNA from 1 species
UACGUAGGGUGCAAGCGUUAAUCGGAAUUACUGGGCGUAAAGCGUGCGCAGGCGGCUAUGCAAGACAGAUGUGAAAUCCCCGGGCUCAACCUGGGAACUGCAUUUGUGACUGCAUGGCUAGAGUUUGUCAGAGGGGGGUGGAAUUCCACGUGUAGCAGUGAAAUGCGUAGAGAUGUGGAGGAACACCGAUGGCGAAGGCAGCCCCCUGGGACAUGACUGACGCUCAUGCACGAAAGCGUGGGGAGCAAACAGGAUUAGAUACCCUGGUAGUCCACGCCCUAAACGAUGUCGACUAGUUGUCGGGGAUUUACAUCUUCGGUAACGCAGCUAACGCGUGAAGUCGACCGCCUGGGGAGUACGGUCGCAAGAUUAAA